rnacentral:rRNA from 1 species
UACGUAGGGGGCAAGCGUUGUCCGGAAUUAUUGGGCGUAAAGCGCACGUAGGCGGACUGACAAGUUGGGUGUGAAAUCCCUCGGCUUAACCGAGGACGUGCAUUCAAAACUGUCAGCCUUGAGUACGAAAGAGGGUCGCGGAAUUCCCGGUGUAGAGGUGAAAUUCGUAGAUAUCGGGAGGAACACCAGUGGCGAAGGCGGGCGACCUGGGUCGAUACUGACGCUGAGGUGCGAAAGCGUGGGGAGCGAACAGG